rnacentral:lncRNA from 1 species
CAUAGGCCACUUUCCUAGAGUUGCUACUGUGUCCAGACACUGAUCACAUGGUUGCGAGAUUCUAAGAAGAGAUAAAUCCAUGCAACAGAUUUCAAUGUCACUUUUUACUCUCCCUUUUUGUAAAGGAAGUUGUUUUACAAUGAUUGCUCUCAGUAACCACCCACCUGCAUCUUGUGAUGUGCUUCAGGGAAAUGCUAGCUCCAGGUGUUUCCUCAAAGUCCGCAUGCCACACAGCUUCAAAGCACCUUCCCCAUGAUGGUUCAACUUAAAGAUGAGACUGCAUUUCUCAGCUGCAGAUGGCCCUGCAGAGCCUGGACAGUGAGGGGACAGUCUGCUGUUUUUGAACCUCCCCAGCUUCCCAGCUUUCUUGGGUCCUCGGAGAUAUUGCCAUACCCCAGAGAGCAGGAGGCAGUCUAAAGAGCAUGAUGACCCUGUGAGGCCUCAUGGAUCACCCCUUUCUAUUUUCUCACCGUACAGAGUAAAUAAGAAGAAGGGAUGUCUGUAACCAACAACCACCCACGUUCCAGAACCAGCCUGCUCUCAGACCCUCAGUGUCAGAUGCCAAAUCAUCACCAGCCACCAAAUGUGACACAUUUCCACUGUGGCCACAAGUAGUGCACCCUUAUCCUGCCCAGGUCUUCGCAGGCGGCUCUUUUUCUCUUCCAUGCCCACCCCCAAUAAAUCUCUCACAUGAAGCCUGUUCUGUGCUGUGAUCUUUGCAACAUCCCUUAGCCCUCUGAUCCAUGCGAAACUCUAAGAAGCCUCCCAGGGUCACCCUGAAUGUUUGCCCAGCUGGGCAGGUGUCUGGUGGAGCAGGACCUGAAGCUGCAUGAAGUCUGAGCAAAGACGGAAAUUGUAAACGGACAAAGAGUGGAAGGGCGCUUCUUCUCAUUCCUCUUUUAAUACUGUCUGUCUGUCUGAUGUGUUGGCAUGUAUGCAUGUUGUACACAUGUAUGCAUGUUGUACACAUGUAUACAUGCAUGUAUGUACAUUUGUAUGUAUGCAUGUAUGUAUGUUUGUAUGUAUCUGUCUCUAUGUGUAUCUAUAUCUAACUCUAUCUAUCUGUCUGUCUAUCUAUCCAUCUAUCUAUCUAUCUAUCUAUCUAUCUAUCUAUCUACCUAUCCUACCUACCUCUCCUCAAUCCCUCCAAAAUCAGAUUGGCCUGCUCUGAGGGAAGAAAAUGUCCCUAUUUCUCCCCUCCCCCCC